GAACGCUGGCGGCGUGCUUAACACAUGCAAUUCGAACGGUAAGGCCCCUUUUUUUGGGGUGUACGAGUGGCGAACGGGUGGGUAACACGUGAGUAACCUGCCCCAGACUUUGGGAUAACAGUUGGAAACGAUUGCUAAUACUGGAUAUGAGCUGCUGCCGCAUGGUGGUGGUUUGAAAGUUCCGGCGGUUUGGGAUGGGCUCGCGGCCUAUCAGCUUGUUGGUGAGGUGAUGGCUUACCAAGGCUUCGACGGGUAGCCGGCCUGAGAGGGCGACCGGCCACAUUGGGACUGAGAUACGGCCCAAACUCCUACGGGAGGCAGCAGUGGGGAAUAUUGCACAAUGGACGGAAGUCUGAUGCAGCAACGCCGCGUGCGGGAUGACGGCCUUCGGGUUGUAAACCGCUUUCAUCCAUGACGAAGCUUUUGUGACGGUAGUGGGUAAAGAAGCACCGGCUAACUACGUGCCAGCAGCCGCGGUGAUACGUAGGGUGCGAGCGUUGUCCGGAUUUAUUGGGCGUAAAGAGCUUGUAGGCGGUUUGUCGCGUCGGGAGUGAAAACUCGGAGCUUAACUUUGAGCUUGCUUUCGAUACGGGCUGACUUGAGGGAGGUAGGGGAGAAUGGAAUUCCUGGUGGAGCGGUGGAAUGCGCAGAUAUCAGGAGGAACACCGGUGGCGAAGGCGGUUCUCUGGACCUUUCCUGACGCUGAGAAGCGAAAGCGUGGGGAGCGAACAGGCUUAGAUACCCUGGUAGUCCACGCCGUAAACGGUGGGUACUAGGUGUGGGGGACAUUCCACGUUCUCCGUGCCGUAGCUAACGCAUUAA
rnacentral:rRNA from 1 species